rnacentral:rRNA from 1 species
CAGCUCUCCGAGUGGUAGGGAUGAUUAUUGGGCUUAAAGCGUCCGUAGCCGGCUUAGCAAGUCUCCUGUUAAAUUCAGCGACCUAAUCGUUGAGCCGCGGGAGACACUACUAGGCUAGGAGGCGGGAGAGGCCGACGGUAUUCUCGGGGUAGGGGUGAAAUCCUAUAAUCCCGGGAGGACCACCAGUGGCGAAGGCUGUCGGCUAGAACGCGCUCGACGGUGAGGGACGAAAGCUGGGGGAGCAAACCGGAUUAGAUACCCGAGUAGUCC